UGACCUCAAGUCAGACAAGAUUGCCCCCUGAGUUUAA
rnacentral:rRNA from 1 species